rnacentral:rRNA from 1 species
AAAAAGCUCGUAGUUGGAUUUCGGAACCGGCCGAUUGGUCCGUCCUCUGGAUCGUGUACUGAUCGGUCUGUUCUUCUUCGCGAAGACCGCGUGUGCUCUUAACUGAGUGGGCGUGGGAUUCGCGACGUUUACUUUGAAAAAAUUAGGGUGUUCAAAGCAGGCAGUCGCUUGAAUAUCUCAGCAUGGAAUAAUAGAAUAGGACUUUGGUCUUAUUUUGUUGGUUUCCGAGACCGAAGUAAUGAUUAAUAGGGACAGUUGGGGGCAUUCGUAUUUCAUUGUCAGAGGUGAAAUUCUUGGAUUUAUGAAAGACGAACUUCUGCGAAAGCAUUUGCCAAGGAUGUUUUCAUUAAUCAAGAACGAAAGUUGGAGGCUCGAAGACGAUCAGAUACCGUCCUAGUUCCAACCAUAAACGAUGCCGUCUGCGGAUCGGAGGUCGCUCAUGUAAGGCUCCUUCGGCACGCUAUGAGAAAUCAAAGACUUCGGGUUCCGGGGGGAGUAUGUUCGCAAGAAUGAAACUUAAAGGAAUUGACGGAAGGGCACCACCAGGAGUGGAACCUGCGGUUUAAUUUGACUCAACACGGGAAAAACUCACC